rnacentral:rRNA from 1 species
AGCUAGUUGGUGGGGUAAAGGCCCACCAAGGCAACGAUCCAUAGCUGGUCUGAGAGGAUGAUCAGCCACACUGGGACUGAGACACGGCCCAGACUCCUACGGGAGGCAGCAGUGGGGAAUAUUGGACAAUGGGGGCAACCCUGAUCCAGCCAUGCCGCGUGUGUGAAGAAGGCCCUAGGGUUGUAAAGCACUUUCAGUGGGGAGGAAGGCUCAGUUGCUAAUAUCGACUGGGAUUGACGUUACCCACAGAAGAAGCACCGGCUAACUCCGUGCCAGCAGCCGCGGUAAUACGGAGGGUGCGAGCGUUAAUCGGAAUGACUGGGCGUAAAGCGCGCGUAGGCGGAUAAUUAAGUCGGAUGUGAAAUCCCUGGGCUCAACCUGGGCACUGCAUCCGAUACUGGUGAUCUAGAGUACGAAGGAGGGGGGUAGAAUUUCAGGUGUAGCGGUGAAAUGCGUAGAGAUCUGAAGGAAUACCGGUGGUGAAGGCGGCCCCCUGGUUCGAUACUGACGCUGAGGUGCGAAAGCGUGGGUAGCAAACAGGAUUAGAUACCCUGGUAGUCCACGCUGUAAACGAUGUCUACUAGCCGUUUGGGAGCAAUCCCGAGUGGCGCAGCUAACGCGCUAAGUAGACCGCCUGGGGAGUACGGUCGCAAGAUUAAAACUCAAAUGAAUUGACGGGGGCCCGCACAAGCGGUGGAGCAUGUGGUUUAAUUCGAAACAACGCGAAGAACCUUACCAGGUCUUGACAUCCAGAGAAUCCUGCAGAGAUGCGGGAGUGCCUACGGGAAUUCUGAGACAGGUGCUGCAUGGCUGUCGUCAGCUCGUGUCGUGAGAUAUUGGGUUAAGUCCCGUAACGAGCGCAACCCUUGUCCUUAGUUGCCAGCACGUAAAGGUGGGAACUCUAAGGAGACUGCCGGUGACAAACCGGAGGAAGGUGGGGACGACGUCAAGUCAUCAUGGCCCUUACGACCUGGGCUACACACGUGCUACAAUGGUCGGUGCAAAGGGCAGCGAGACUGCGAAGUUAAGCGAAUCCCAUAAAACCGAUCGUAGUCCGGAUUGGAGUCUGCAACUCGACUCCAUGAAGCCGGAAUCGCUAGUAAUCGCGAAUCAGAAUGUCGCGGUGAAUACGUUCCCGGGCCUUGUACACACCGCCCGUCACACCAUGGGAGUGGGUUGCAAAAGAAGUGGCUAGUCUAACUUCGGAGGACGGUCACCACUUUGUGAUUCAUGACUGGGGUGAAGUCGUAACAAGGUAGCCGUAGGGGAACCUGCGGCUG